GGUUCCAGGUUUUGCUGAGAUCGCCAGGCCCCUAUAUGAAGCUACCAAAGAGGGGAAAACAUUUAAAUGGGCUGAAAAAGAAGAAACUGCCUUUAAUCAGUUAAAAAAGGCCCUCCUAAGUGCCCCAGCCCUGGGCCUACCAGACAUUACGAAGCCCUUCCACCUCCUUGUAGACGAACAUAAGGGAAUAACAAAAGGGGUUCUAACUCAAGCCUUAGGCCCCUGGAACUGCCCGGUGGCUUACCUGUCCAAGAAACUAGACCCAGUGGCUGCCGGCUGGCUGCCAUGCCUAAGAAUUAUUGCGGCGACAGCACUCCUAGUCAAGGACGCAGACAAACUGACCCUAGGACAGGAGAUCUGGAUCACGACCCCACACACCAUUGAAGGGGUCCUGAAACAGCCUCCUGACAGAUGGAUGAGCAAUACACGUAUGACUCAUUACCAGAACCUCCUACUCAACUCUCCACGGGUGCGGUUCCACCCCAGUGCAGCCCUCAAUCCUGCAACCCUGCUGCCCGACCCUGACCUAGGUGCUCCACUACAUGACUGUGUGGGAAUCCUGGAACAAGUACAUGGAUUCCGGACGGACCUGACCGACCGGCCCCUCCCCGAUGCCGAGGCUACUUGGUUCACUGAUGGCAGCAGCUUUGUGCGAGACGGACACGGGUAUGCGGGUGCAGUGGUGGUCACUGAAACGGACACCGUAUGGGCGGAGGCUCUACCCUCCAGAACGUCAGCCCAGCGAGCAGAGCUCAUAGCCCUCACCAAGGCGCUGAUGCUGGGAGCUAGAAAAUGGCUUAACAACUACCGGACUUGGGAGACCCAGUUUUACCAGACCAGACCAAAUACUCCCAGGAGGAGUUGGAGUGGAUCAAGAAACUCCCCAUGGCCCAGGAGAUAAAGGGAUGGUGGUAUAUACCUAACAAGGAGCUCGUGCUGCCAGACCGGCUCAAAGUCUCAAUAUUAGAGCAAGUUGUAUCUGCCUGCAAGACCUGCCAACUCACCAACGCGAGAGCCACAUCAAAUAAAAAAGGAACCAGGCUCAGAGGCACCGGACCGGGAGCCCAAUGGGAAGUCGACUUCACUAAAGUCAAACCAGGAAAGUAUGGUUAUAAAUAUCUUUUAGUAUUUACAGACACCUUCUCUGGCUGGGUGGAGGCAUACCCAACCAAGCAUGAAACGGCUCAGAUGGUGGCUAAGAAGCUACUAGAAGACAUCUUACCCAGGUAUGGUUUUCCUGCCAUGAUAAGAUCAGACAAUGGACCAGCUUUUAUCUCGCAGGUAACGCAGGCAGUAGCCAAGGCGGUGGGGGCAAACUGGAAAUUACAUUGUGCUUAUAGGCCCCAGAGCUCAGGACAGGUAGAAAGAAUAAAUAGAACCCUAAAAGAGACCCUUACCAAAUUAACCAUGGAGUCUGGCGGGGACUGGGUGACUCUCCUACCGUAUGCUCUUUAUCGGGUUAGGAACACUCCUUACACCUUGGGUUUUACUCCCUACGAGAUCAUGUUUGGCAGGCCACCCCUUAUUAUUCCCAACCUUCGAGCUGAACUUCUUGCUGAGUUUAAAGAUCAAGAACUUUUUCUUUCCUUGAGAGGGCUCCAGAGGGCGCACGAGGACAUUUGGCCGCGCCUCCGUGCCAUCUACGAGGCUGGCCCGACCCCGACACCUCAUCAGUACAGGCUGGGAGACUGGGUCUACGUCAAGAGGCACCACCAGUGUCAAGAGGCGCUGGAAGGGACCCUACAUCGUGGUGCUGACAACCCCCACCGCUCUCAAAGUAGGUGGCAUCGCGACCUGGGUCCAUCACACCCACGUUCGGCCAGCGGACCCCUCCACGAUCUGGAAGGACUUCGUCACGCGAUGGGCCGUCAUUUGGGACCAACACAACCCGCCCAAGCUCAAGCUACAGCGCAUUCGACCCACCUAAUAUUGAUCUACACAAAGACCUUGAUCAUGGGUUUCCAACCAGGGCUUAGCAGAAUGGUUCCUGAAAAGAAGGGUGCUGAGAAGAAGGUCCGUUCUGCCACCAACGAGGUAGUGACCAGAGAAUACACAUCAAUGUUCACAAGCACAUCCAUGGAGUGGGUUUCAAGAAGUGUGCCUCUCAGGCAUACAAAAUGAUCUGGACAUUUGCCAUGAAGGAGAAUGGGAACUCCAGAUGUGUGCAUUGACACCAGGCUCAGCAAAGGAAUGUUCCAAACUGUAUCCGCAUGCAGUUGUCCAGAAAACAUAAUGAGGAUGAAGAAUCACCAAACAAGCUCUAUAUGUUGGUGACUUAUGUACCUGUCACCACUUUCAAAAAUCUGCAGACAGUUAAUGUGGAUGAGAACUAAUUGCCGCUUGUCAAAUAAAGAAAUGACUUACAUGAGACCCCAUUGAUAAUGCUGACUUAAUUUGGUUUAUGGAAUUUACAGAUGAUCAUAAAGAGGAUCAAGGACAUUACUAACUUAGAUAUGCAAUUACUUCUUUAACAGAUAUAAUUGAAAGUUCUUAUUUACCCCAAAUAAAAUCUUCACAAUCUGAA